rnacentral:rRNA from 1 species
AUUGAACGCUGGCGGCAGGCCUAACACAUGCAAGUCGAGCGGAUGAAGGGAGCUUGCUCCUGGAUUCAGCUGCGGACGGGUGAGUAAUGCCUAGGAAUCUGCCUUGUAGUGGGGGAUAACGUCCGGAAACGGGCGCUAAUACCGCAUACGUCCUGAGGGAGAAAGUGGGGGAUCUUCGGACCUCACGCUAUCAGAUGAGCCUAGGUCGGAUUAGCUAGUUGGUGGGGUAAAGGCCUACCAAGGCGACGAUCCGUAACUGGUCUGAGAGGAUGAUCAGUCACACUGGAACUGAGACACGGUCCAGACUCCUACGGGAGGCAGCAGUGGGGAAUAUUGGACAAUGGGCGAAAGCCUGAUCCAGCCAUGCCGCGUGUGUGAAGAAGGUCUUCGGAUUGUAAAGCACUUUAAGUUGGGAGGAAGGGCAGUAAGUCAAUACCUUGCUGUUUUGACGUUACCAACAGAAUAAGCACCGGCUAACUUCGUA